rnacentral:rRNA from 1 species
UACGGGGGGGGCAAGCGUUGUUCGGAAUUACUGGGCGUAAAGGGCUCGUAGGUGGCCAACUAAGUCAGACGUGAAAUCCCUCAGCUUAACUGGGGAACUGCGUCUGAUACUGGAUGGCUUGAGUUUGAGAGAGGGAUGCAGAAUUCCUGGUGUAGCGGUGAAAUGCGUAGAUAUCAGGAGGAACACCUGCGGUGUAGACGGCUUACUGGACGGUAACUGACGCUGAGGCACGAAAGCGUGGGUAGCAAACAGG